rnacentral:SRP_RNA from 1 species
GCCGGGCAUGGUGGCGCAUGCCUGUAGUCCCAGCUACUCAGGAGGCUGAGGUAGGAGAAUCACUUGAGCCCAGGAGGCGGAAGUUGUAGUGAGCUGAAAUCAUGCCACUGCACUCCAGCCUGGGCAACAGAGCGAAACUCUGUCUCAA